CGCGGGUUCCGCAACCCCGAAUCGCAAGGGCCGGAUGUGACGUAGCAGGGCCACGCGGGCUGCCGCGGCAGCGCUGGGUGUGGGAGGCGGAAGUCGGCCCCAGCCGCCAGGGGGCAACGGGAACCCGGCCUGUGUUGCCGGGAAUGGGAGGGGGCCAAAGACUGCUAAUGGCCUACGUGCAGGCUACUGUUGUAAGCCCUUUGCGUGUAGAAGCUCACGGGACCCUCACAGUAAGGAGCUAUUUCCUCUGCCUCCCCAUCAGUAUGGUUAGCCAAUCCUUCAAGAUUCAGCAGAGGUGCAGUUUUCUUCAGGAAGCCCUUCUCUGACCCUUGUAAGGGCCGCUCCGCUAUGAUAGCCAGUGUGAAAUGUGGCUAAUAUGAAUUGAGGGAUGC